UCCUACUUUAUGAUCGAAAUCAUUUACGGAUGUAAGCGAGCCAAGCUCGUGUGUCCGAGAGCGCAAAACCCCAUGUGGAUAUCCCGUUGCCUUCCUUCUGACCCUCAUA
rnacentral:snoRNA from 1 species